GGAGAAUGAAAGACUUUGAAGAGAGAGUUCAAAAGGGCGUGAAACCGCUUAGAAGAAAACGGAUGGAGCCGUCGGGGGCCUCCGGGAAUCAGUCGUACGCGGCGCGAAACGCUUCGUCGCUCGGAACGCAAGUCCGACGUCGGCGCGUAUAGUAGCGCUUGUGCGACGCAUUUCUCGGAGGUAAGCACUGCGACCGAUACGGUAGGCUGGCGGGGCGUCGAGAUUGAGGGCGAGACUUCUCACGGAGUCACGUAACCAGUCUUAACGUGUAACUCGUCGGACCGAGACCAAGUAUCGAGUGCCAAAUAUGUAUAUACGUCGGCGUAAACGCGCGCUCGAACGGUGGAAAUUCGGUCGAUAGCGUUUGUAUCUGCUCGCAGGUGCCGACCUAUUCGUAUCGAUUUUAGAAACCGUCGGCGACAUACGACGUAUAGGCGUCGGCAGUGUCAGUGUCGGUCACCCAUCCGACCCGUCUUGAAACACGGACCAAGGAGUCUAACAUAUGCGCGAGCUAAUGGGUGGAAAACCCAAAGGCGCAAUAAAAGUAAAGGCCGUUUCGGACGGCUAAGGUACGAUCCUAUGGUCCGAGCGACCGUAGGCGCAGUACCGUCCCGUCCCGACCGCAUAUCGGUAGGGCGGAGAUAGAGUGCAUACGUUGGGACCCGAAAGAUGGUGAACUAUGCCUGAGCAGAGCGAAGCCAGAGGAAACUCUGGUGGAGGUUCGUAGCGGUUCUGACGUGCAAAUCGAUCGUCAGACUUGGGUAUAGGGGCGAAAGACUAUCAACUCAACGGGGGGUGCUCUCUCUCACACAAAAA
rnacentral:rRNA from 1 species